rnacentral:rRNA from 1 species
UGGGGAAUCUUGCACAAUGGGCGAAAGCCUGAUGCAGCCAUGCCGCGUGAAUGAUGAAGGCCUUAGGGUUGUAAAAUUCUUUCGCUAGGGAUGAUAAUGACAGUACCUAGUAAAGAAGCCCCGGCUAACUUCGUGCCAGCAGCCGCGGUAAUACGAAGGGGGCUAGCGUUGUUCGGAAUUACUGGGCGUAAAGCGCACGUAGGCGGACUUUUAAGUCAGGUGUGAAAUCCCGGGGCUCAACCUCGGAACU